CCUACGGGGGGCUGCAGUGGGGAAUAUUGCGCAAUGGGCGAAAGCCUGACGCAGCGACGCCGCGUGAGGGAUGAAGGUCUUCAGAUCGUAAACCUCUGUCAGCAGGGAAGAACGGUCACUGUGCUAAUCAGCAGUGAAUUGACGGUACCUGCAAAGGAAGCACCGGCUAACUCCGUGCCAGCAGCCGCGGUAAAACGGAGGGUGCGAGCGUUAAUCGGAAUUACUGGGCGUAAAGCGCUCGUAGGCGGUAUGUCAAGUGAAGGGUGAAAGCCCCGCGCUCAACGGGAGAACUGCCGUUGAAACUGGCAAACUGGAGUGUGUGAGAGGAAAGUGGAAUUCCAGGUGUAGGAGUGAAAUCCGUAGAUAUCUGGAGGAACAUCAGUGGCGAAGGCGACUAUCUGGCACAUAACUGACGCUGAGGAGCGAAAGCGUGGGUAGCAAACAGGAUUAGAUACCCCUGUAGUC
rnacentral:rRNA from 1 species